rfam:Prevotella sp. oral taxon 473 str. F0040 genomic scaffold Scfld437, whole genome shotgun sequence.
GGGGCUGACUGGAUUUGACAGCGGUUCGAGGUGGUUAGUAAGCACGCAGUGCGGAUGGAAGUGGGCACUAUAAUCUCGGCUUUCAACAAUUUAUCUGGCGAAAACAACUUUGCUCUCGCUGCUUAAUCGAAGUAUAGUAGAUUAGCUUCAUCCCUUCUCUAGGAGUUGGGACGAGACAUCACCCAAGAGCAUCCGCUCCUUUGCGUCUUGAUUUGGUGGUGCAGUAAGAAGGAGAUUGGCAAACCAUGCCUCGAUGGUUCGCUGAAAUUUUAGAGGAUACGGCAGCAUAUUAGGUUGUUUCCAUCGCAGUGCUGCCCGACAAUUAAAGGGAAACUAAGCGUGUAGAAAGCUAGUUAGCUCUCCGUUUGGACGAGGGUUCAAUCCCCUCCAGCUCCACAA